UCGGCCGGGCAAGGCGGCGGGGCGCGGGGCACUGGCAGGGCUCCCCGGCCCGAUCUCCAUGUACAGCUACAUGUUUAGGGCCGCUCGGGUUAAUAUAUGUCGUCAGAAGCGGCGGCCGCCAAUGGCCGGGGCGGGGGCGGAGCCCGCCGCCCUCCGCAAUAAAACUUUUUGAUGUUCGCUCUGCUAAUUGCCGAGCUCCUCUUUUAGGAUUGGCUGCCCCUCCGCAUCCCUAAUGUAAUUAAAACAAGGGGGGAAAAAUUAUCAUGGAGGCAGAGGUUAAUGCAAGUGUUUAGCAGAUGCCUUACAGUAAAACCUGCGUUAAAAAAAAAAAAAAAAAAAAAAUUGAAAAAAACCCCAAACAACAAAAAAACCCCUACAAACUCAUUAAAACUUAAAUAUCGGAUAAUCUCAAACCAGGUACAGUAUGGAUCCAAGAAGUUUCUCGGCAAAAGUCUGUGUGAGAGCUAGAUAGGCUCUGAGGUUGCUCUGGCAAAGUGCUUUGUGCCGGUCCGGCAGAGGAACAAAUAAAUCCGGCUUCGGAGGGCACUUCAUCGAUGCCCGACUCCGACAGGCAUGGCCCAGCAGCGCUGCGGCUUAUACCCGUGUUGCUGGUUAGUACACACCACGGGAUCGCUGGUUCCCGUGAGGAGGGAGGCGAAGCUGCUCUGCCUUGCCUGACACCCAGCUUGCGAGCCGGCUUAGCAUGGGCUGGCUCCGGCCGCGCUCCUGCUGACUGAGCGAGGGAGAGGAGCGCUCGGGGCUUGCACGGGGAUGCUUUUGAAAGAAUUGUUUUGAGACAUUAACAAUAAGCCCGACUCUGACUGAUUCUUUUCCAGCUUACUGACUGCGCCUAUGCACCUCCACCACCAGCGUUCACCCGAGUGACUCAGGCGCCUGAAAUCGGUUUCAUGCUUCUUGAACCGAUAUGAUCGGAAAGUUAAGAAGACGGAAAAUGAAGAAGUGUACCUCCCCAGACCUGGAGGGAAACGGAGCGGCGGCCAAAAGGAGUGGGUGUAAAUGCGACAACAAAAAUAAAUACUUUAUAUCACCCUGCAGAACUUAUUUUACUAAGUCAACAUUUUGUUUUUCUGCUGCUCACCUUUUCUUUCCUCUAGGGAGAGACAAUGCUCACUUUUUAUUAGGUAUUCCCUAAAAGUUUGUUUUGAUCCCCGCCCAGGUGUGUGUAUAUGUACAUACAUAUAUACAAUCAACAGGCUGAGGUUCAUGUGUGAGCAGAGGGGACCGGGAGGAGGGGAGAUCAGAUGCUCUUAGGUAAGAUCCCACGGCCCUACAGGCUGCAGGCGACUCAUUGCAAAGCCCCCGUUGUUCGGAGGUGAUUUAUAAAAUCGAGACCGGGCAGAUAUCAAUGUCAUUCAAGUGUGAGCGCUCUGAGAAAGCCUGCAGAAGAGGGCUGCGACCCACAUUCCCUCCCAGGCAUUAGCGCCUUUCCAAAUACUAUCGACAUUUCUGCCGGAGGUCUCCCUGGUGUGUAACACGGGGCUCAGACAGGCGCUAAUUGAACACGUAGCGUGUGCGAGGUUGCGACAAUGAGCGUCGGGGCAGGCUCACACAGCGGCAGAAAUGGGAGCGAUGGGUAGAAGGGAAGGAGCGUCACAGGCCCCCGAGCAGUGCGUGUUGG
ensembl:lncRNA